rnacentral:rRNA from 1 species
AUUGAACGCUGGCGGCAUGCCUUACACAUGCAAGUCGAACGGUAACGGGCCUUCGGGUGCCGACGAGUGGCGAACGGGUGAGUAAUGUAUCGGAACGUACCUUUCAGUGGGGGAUAACGUAGCGAAAGCUACGCUAAUACCGCAUAUUCUGUGCGCAGGAAAGCAGGGGAUCGCAAGACCUUGCGCUGAUUGAGCGGCCGAUAUCAGAUUAGCUAGUUGGUGAGGUAAAGGCUCACCAAGGCGACGAUCUGUAGCGGGUCUGAGAGGAUGAUCCGCCACACUGGAACUGAGACACGGUCCAGACUCCUACGGGAGGCAGCAGUGGGGAAUUUUGGACAAUGGGGGCAACCCUGAUCCAGCCAUGCCGCGUGAGUGAAGAAGGCCUUCGGGUUGUAAAGCUCUUUCGGCCGGGAAGAAAUCGUAUCAGCUAAUACCUGGUGCGGAUGACGGUACCGGCAUAAGAAGCACCGGCUAACUACGUGCAGCCGCCGCCGUAAAAC